rnacentral:rRNA from 11 species
AACUCAAAUGAAUUGACGGGGGCCCGCACAAGCGGUGGAGCAUGUGGUUUAAUUCGAUGAUACGCGAGGAACCUUACCUGGGCUUAAAUGGGAAAUGACAGUUUAGGAAACUAGACCUUCUUCGGACAUUUUUCAAGGUGCUGCAUGGUUGUCGUCAGCUCGUGCUGUGAGGUGUCGGGUUAAGUCCCAUAACGAGCGCAACCCCUAUCUUUAGUUGCCAGCGAGUAAUGUCGGGGACUCUAGAGAAACUGCCGGUGCAAACCGAGAGGAAGGUGGGGAUGACGUCAAAUCAUCAUGCCCCUUAUGAUUUGGGCUACACACGUGCUACAAUGGACAAUACAAAGGGCAGCGAAACCGCGAGGUCAAGCAAAUCCCAUAAAGUUGUUCUCAGUUCGGAUUGUAGUCUGCAACUCGACUACAUGAAGCUGGAAUCGCUAGUAAUCGGAUAUCAGCCAUGAUCCGGUGAAUACGUUCCCGGGCCUUGUACACACCGCCCGUCACAUCAUGGGAAUUGGUUCUACCCGAAGACGCUGUGCUAACUUCGGAGGCAGGCGGCCACGGUAGGAUCAGUGACUGGGAUGAAGUCGUAACAAGGUAGCCGUAGGGGAACCUGCGGCUGGAUCAC